CCUACGGGUGGCAGCAGUGGGGAAUAUUGGACAAUGGGCGAAAGCCUGAUCCAGCCAUGCCGCGUGUGUGAAGAAGGCCUUCGGGUUGUAAAGCACUUUCAGUGGGGAAGAAAGCCUUGGGGCUAAUACCCUCGAGGAAGGACAUCACCCACAGAAGAAGCACCGGCUAACUCCGUGCCAGCAGCCGCGGUAAUACGGAGGGUGCGAGCGUUAAUCGGAAUUACUGGGCGUAAAGCGCGCGUAGGCGGUCUGAUAAGCCGGUUGUGAAAGCCCCGGGCUCAACCUGGGAACGGCAUCCGGAACUGUCAGGCUAGAGUGCAGGAGAGGAAGGUAGAAGUCCCGGUGUAGCGGUGAAAUGCGUAGAGAUCGGGAGGAAUACCAGUGGCGAAGGCGGUCUUCUGGACUGACACUGACGCUGAGGUGCGAAAGCGUGGGUAGCAAACAGGAUUAGAUACCCUUGUAGUC
rnacentral:rRNA from 1 species